rnacentral:rRNA from 1 species
GUGGGAAGUGAGAAUGCCGGAUUAAGUACGCGAGAAACAGAGUGAAAACCUCUGUCCCCGUAAGCCUAAGGUUUCCUGAGCCAUGUCGAUCAGCUCAGGGUUAGUCGGUCCCUAAGGUGAGGCCGAGAGGCGUAGCUGAUGGGAAACAGGUCAAUAUUCCUGUGCCAACUGAUGGCCGUUUGAGUUCGAUGAGGGACGCAGGAGCAAGGUUUCCGACGGAUUGUGGUUAUGCCGUUGCAAGGUGGUAGACGUUUCCAGGUAGGCAAAUCCGCUUGGAUAGUCGAGAACCGAUGCCGAAGGGGCCUCACCGCCCCGCAAAGGGAAGCUGACGCACGCUGCCGAGAAAAGCUUCGCGAACGAGGACUGCAGUUGACCGUACCGUAAUCCGACACAGGUAGGCGAGGCGAGUAGCCUAAGGGGCUCGAGUGAUUUACGGAAAAGGAACUCGGCAAAAUGACCCCGUAACUUCGGGAUAAGGGGUGCCAGUAGUAGCUGACCUAAUCAAGGGAAGGCGAGGCUGGCCGCAGAGAAUCGUCUCAAGCGACUGUUUAGCAAAAACACAGGAGCGUGCUAAGGCAUUGUCCAAGCCUACGUAUACGCUCUGACUCCUGCCCGGUGCCGGAAGGUUAAGGCAAGUCGUCAGCCGCAAGGCGAAGCGAUGAACCGAAGCCCCGGUAAACGGCGGCCGUAACAAUAACGGUCCUAAGGUAGCGAAAUUCCUUGUCGGGUAAGUUCCGACCUGCACGAAUGGAGUAACGACUUGAGAGCUGUCUCUUCCGUAAGCUCGGCGAAAUAGAAGCAUCGGUGAGGAUUCCGAUUACCCGCGACAGGACAAAAAGACCCCAUGCACCUUUACUACAACCUGUCAUUGAUUGUCGGUAUGCGCUGCGUAGCAUAGGUGGGAGCCAUUGAGACCGCGGUUUUGGCUGCGGUGGAGGCACCAGUGAAAUACCACCCUUCGUUUACUAACAAUCUCACUCAGCCGGCAACACCGGCGAGGACCGUGGCAGGCGGGUAGUUUGACUGGGGCGGUCGCCUCCUAAAGAGUACCGGAGGCGCGCAAUGGUUGGCUCAGUGCGGUCGGUAAUCGCACGUGGAGUGUAUACGCAAAAGCCAGCCUGACUGCGAGCGCUACAGCGCGAGCAGGGACGAAAGUCGGUGUAAGUGAUCCGGCGGGACCGUGUGGACGGCCCGUCGCUCAUCGGAUAAAAGGUACGCUGGGGAUAACAAGCUUAUCGCGCCCGAGAGUUCACAUCGACGGCGCGGUUUGGCACCUCGAUGUCGGCUUGUCACAUCCUGGGGCUGGAGAAGGUCCCAAGGGUCCGGCUGUUCGCCGGUUAAAGUGGCACAUGAGCUGGGUUCAGAACGUCGUGAGACAGUUCGGUCUGUAUCCGUCGUGGCGUGGGAGUGUUGAGGGACGUCGACCUUAGUACGAGAGGACCGGGUCGAAGCGACCGCUCGUGUACGGGCUGUUCCGCCAGGGGCAGCGCCCGGUAGCGAUGUCGCGCGAAGAUAACCGCCGAAAGCAUCUAAGUGGGAAACUUUUCCCAAGAUGAACACUCCUGGAUCUUAAGAUCCCUGUAGGGCCGUGGGAGACUACUACGUUGAUAGGCGGCAAAUGCACGGCACGUAAGUGCUUUAGUCGAGCCGUACUAAUCGCCCGUGAAGUUUGAUCU